AUUCCAUGAUGAGGGCACUUUCGAAAUAACUCUUUUACCUUUCCCAUGCCUCAUACAGGGACUCAUCAUCCAUUUGUUGGAAGGUAGUGAUCUCAUUCCUCAAUUU
rfam:Gossypium hirsutum cultivar TM-1 chromosome 24, whole genome shotgun sequence